rnacentral:rRNA from 1 species
UACGUAGGGAGCAAGCGUUGUCCGGAAUCAUUGGGCGUAAAGCGCGCGUAGGUGGCCUCGUAAGUCCGCUGUAAAAGUCAAAGGCUCAACCUUUGAAAGCCGGUGGAUACUGCGGGGCUAGAGUACGGAAGAGGCGAGUGGAAUUCCUGGUGUAGCGGUGGAAUGCGCAGAUAUCAGGAGGAACACCAAUGGCGAAGGCAGCUCGCUGGGACGGUACUGACGCUGAGACGCGAAAGCGUGGGGAGCAAACAGG